rnacentral:rRNA from 1 species
AGGAUAAACGCUGAAGGCAUCUAAGCGUGAAGCCCCCCUCAAAACAAGGUAUCCCUUGAGAGCCGUGGAAGACCACCACGUCGAUAGGCCGGAGAUGUAAGCGCAGCAAUGCGUUCAGUUGACCGGUACUAAUGGCUCGAUUGGCUUGAUUUGAUCCGG